UCUUGACAAAAGUUGUGCACUCUACAAAAAUCAUGAAUUAAAACUAGAAAUUUGAAUGAGACACUGGAAGAAGGUUCAGAGAGUAAGGCAUGUGUUUGGACAGAAGCAGAGCUCUGGGACGUGUGGACAGACUUUGACUGUAAUGAUGGACGUCUGCUCAAGGACAGAAGCAUAACCGCUGCUGGACAUCACUCUGGGACUCAGGGGGGGACCCGAAUCAUCCUCACCCCUUCAUUCACACAACACUCACUCAUAUCACAGAGAUCUGGCUGGGAUUGAACCAGCGACCUCUGAACCAUGAGGCAGCGCUCUUACCUGUGAGCCAC
rnacentral:lncRNA from 1 species